rnacentral:rRNA from 1 species
CGGGGUGCACCAGGCGCGAAAACUUUACAAUGCGGGAAACCGUGAUAAGGGGACACCGAGUGCCAGCAUCAUAUGCUGGCUGUCCAGGUGUGUAAAAUACACCUGUUAGCAAGGGCCGGGCAAGACCGGUGCCAGCCGCCGCGGUAACACCGGCGGCCCGAGUGGUGAUCGUGAUUAUUGGGUCUAAAGGGUCCGUAGCCGGUUUGGUCAGUCCUCCGGGAAAUCUGACGGCUCAACCGUUAGGCUUUCGGGGGAUACUGCCAGGCUUGGAACCGGGAGAGGUAAGAGGUACUACAGGGGUAGGAGUGAAAUCUUGUAAUCCCUGUGAGACCACCUGUGGCGAAGGCGUCUUACCAGAACGGGUUCGACGGUGAGGGACGAAAGCUGGGGGCACGAACCGGAUUAGAUACCCGGGUAGUCCCAGCCGUAAACGAUGCUCGCUAGGUGUCAGGCAUGGCGCGACCGUGUCUGGUGCCGCAGGGAAGCCGUGAAGCGAGCCACCUGGGAAGUACGGCCGCAAGGCUGAAACUUAAAGGAAUUGGCGGGGGAGCAC